GCCUUCGUGGUGUAGUGGUCAGCACGCUGGGCGUGUAAGUGAAAGAUCCGUGGUUCGAUUCCUGGCGAAGGCG
rnacentral:tRNA from 1 species